UACGAAGGGUGCAAACGUUGCUCGGAAUUAUUGGGCCUAAAGCAUCCGUAGCCGGUCCUGCAAGUCUUCCGUUAAAUCCAGCUGCUCAACAGAUGGGCUGCGGGGGAUACUACAGGGCUAGGAGGCGGGAGAGGCAAGCGGUACUUUAUGGGUAGGGGUAAAAUCCGCUGAUCCAUAGAAGACCACCAGUGGCGAAGGCGGCUUGCCAGAACGCGCUCGACGGUGAGGGAUGAAAGCUGGGGGAGCAAACCGG
rnacentral:rRNA from 1 species